AACGAAAGUAUAGAGGUCCGCUGCCCUGUGACUAUAUGUUUAACGGCCGCGGUAUUUUGACCGUGCGAAGGUAGCGCAAUCACUUGUCUUUUAAAUGGGGACCUGUAUGAAUGGCAUAACGAGGGCUUGACUGUCUCCUCUUUCAAGUCAAUGAAAUUGAUCUCCCCGUGCAGAAGCGGGGAUAAUCACAUAAGACGAGAAGACCCUAUGGAGCUUUAGACACUAAAGCAGAUCAGUAUAAAUAUCCUUAACAACAGGACACGAAUCAACUGGGCCCUGCCCUAAUGUCUUUGGUUGGGGCGACCGCGGAGAAAUAAAAAACCCCCGCAAAGACCGAAUGAACUACAUUCACAACCAAGAGCGACAGCUCUAAUUAACAGAACUUCUGACUAGUAAGAUCCGGCAACGCCGAUCAAUGAACCGAGUUACCCUAGGGAUAACAGCGCAAUCUCCUCUUAGAGUCCAUAUCGACGAGGGGUUUACGACCUCGAUGUUGGAUCAGGACAUCCUAAUGGUGCAGCCGCUAUUAAGGGUUCGUAGUAUCAACGAUUAAAGUCCUACGUGAUCUGAGAUUCAGACCG
rnacentral:rRNA from 1 species